UACGGAGGGUGCGAGCGUUGUCCGGAAUCAUUGGGCGUAAAGGGCGCGUAGGUGGCGGGACAAGCGUGCGGUGAAAGCCUGGGGCUCAACCCCGGGUCGGCCGUGCGAACUGUUUUGCUUGAGCACUGUAGAGGCAGGCGGAAUUCCGGGUGUAGCGGUGGAAUGCGUAGAGAUCCGGAAGAACAUCGGUGGCGAAGGCGGCCUGCUGGGCUGUAGCUGACGCUGAGGCGCGACAGCGUGGGGAGCAAACAGG
rnacentral:rRNA from 1 species